rnacentral:rRNA from 1 species
AACGAACGCUGGCGGCAGGCUUAACACAUGCAAGUCGAGCGCCCCGCAAGGGGAGCGGCAGACGGGUGAGUAACGCGUGGGAAUCUACCCAUCUCUACGGAAUAACGCAUGGAAACGUGUGCUAAUACCGUAUACGUCCUUCGGGAGAAAGAUUUAUCGGAGAUGGAUGAGCCCGCGUUGGAUUAGCUAGUUGGUGGGGUAAAGGCCUGCCAAGGCGACGAUCCAUAGCUGGUCUGAGAGGAUGAUCAGCCACACUGGGACUGAGACACGGCCCAGACUCCUACGGGAGGCAGCAGUGGGGAAUAUUGGACAAUGGGCGCAAGCCUGAUCCAGCCAUGCCGCGUGAGUGAUGAAGGCCUUAGGGUUGUAAAACUCUUUUAUCCGGGAAGAUAAUGACUGUACCGGAAGAAUAAGCCCCGGCUAACUUCGUGCCAGCCGCCGCCGUAACAC